rnacentral:rRNA from 1 species
GACGAACGCUGGCGGCGUGCUUAACACAUGCAAGUCGAGCGGUAAGGCCCUUUCGGGGUACGACGAGCGGCGAACGGGUGAGUAACACGUGGGUGACCUGCCCUCAGCUCUGGGAUAAGCCUGGGAAACCGGGUCUAAUACCGGAUAUGACUCCAUGACGCAUGUUGUGGGGUGGAAAGCCUUGUGCGGCUGAGGAUGGGCCCGCGGCCUAUCAGCUUGUUGGUGGGGUGANGGCCUACCAAGGCGACGACGGGUAGCCGGCCUGAGA